rnacentral:misc_RNA from 1 species
AUAGUUGAUUACUCUGAUAUCACAUGCUACCAGCUCUUUCAGGAGUAGAUUUUGUUGUCUUGAGUUUUGCAAUGUCAACCAGGUCUCCAAACAGCUUGUCUUCUGGCUUGGAAGGCUUCUUCGGUGGCAAGUAAGAUGAUGUGGCAACCUGAUAAGACGAGUUUCUCAAAGUGCUAUCAUCCCUGAAAGUCAGCCCAUACAUUUGCUGCUCAAGAUACUGCGUCCCUUGUGGAGCAUACCCAUAUCCUGCCAUUUGGUUGCCAUACACAUGUUGAGGAUACAUUGCAGCUAUUUGCCCAGUUUGCAUUGGCUGAGGGAGCAUACCCAUAUACGUCCCUCCUUGGACUGCUUGAGGAUGCAAACCUAACUG